rnacentral:misc_RNA from 1 species
AUGAAAAUGACGAAGAAGUGUGCAUUUUCCCUGUCAUAUUUUUAUGCCAACGGUGUUGUGUUUCUGGUUUUAAGACUCUAAAAUUGCCGUAGUUAUGCUUUUAUCAAAUGGUUAUAUAGAAUUUCCCCUAGUAGUCAAGUUGAUGGGUUUCCAUGCAUGAUUUAAAAUAUGUCAUUAUGCGUUCUAGUAGGAUAUCAUAUUUAGAAUUUAUUAAGAAUUGGAUUCAUGUAUAUAGAUCCUUGUGUUUAUAAGGACAUUAGUAUUGAGCCUUUGCUUCAAUUUUUUUGCCUUUUUUUCCUCAGUUAUGUACAAUGAUUAUGUUAUUUCUCUUUUGACAAUUACUUGUGCUUGGUCAAAGUUUUGUUCAUGUUCUGUUUUUUAGUGUAGUUAGCUG